rnacentral:rRNA from 1 species
AAUGUACGCUGGCGGCACGCCUAACACAUGCAAGUCGAACGAGGUAGCAAUACCUAGUGGCAGACGGGUGCGUAACAUGUGGGAAUCUGCCUUUUGGUUCGGAACAACACGGGGAAACCUGUGCUAAUACCGAAUAAGUCCUCACGGAGAAAGAUUUAUCGCCAAAAGAUGAGCCCGCACUUGAUUAGCUUGUUGGUAAGGUAAAAGCUUACCAAGGCUACGAUCAAUAGCUGAUUUGAGAGGAUGAUCAGCCACACUGGGACUGAGACACGGCCCAGACUCCUACGGGAGGCAGCAGUGGGGAAUCUUGCACAAUGGAGGAAACUCUGAUGCAGCGAUGCCGCGUGAGUGAAGAAGGCCUUUGGGUUGUAAAGCUCUUUUGUCGGGAAAGAUAAUGACUGUACCCGAAGAAUAAGGUCCGGCUAACUUCG